UAAUACGAAGGGCCCGAGCGUUAAUCAGAAUCACUGGGCUUAAAGCGUACGUAGGCUGACGCGCAGGCACUUUGUGAAAUCCCUCGGCUCAACCGAGGAAUUGCUUGGUGAACCGCGCGUCUUGAGGCAAGUAGAGGCUGUCGGAACGAUAGGUGGAGCGGUGAAAUGCGUUGAUAUCUAUCGGAACGCCGAAGGGGAAAUCAGACAGCUGGGCUUGUUCUGACGCUGAGGUCCGAAAGCGUGGGGAGCGAACGGGAUUAGAUACCCCGGUAGUCCACGCCGUAAACGAUGUGCACUAGAUCGAGGGAGCUCUGACGCUGCUCUCGGUCGAAGCAAAAGUGUUAAGUGCACCGCCUGGGGAGUACGGUCGCAAGGCUA
rnacentral:rRNA from 1 species